ensembl:lncRNA
AUUUAUUUACAAUCCAAGGCAGCAGAGCCAUCAAAUUCACAUGUAACUAUAGUGUCCCCUUUCCAGUGUUAACAGUUUCCAGAAGCUGACAUUUCAUUUGUGCGUAUGUAUGUGUAUUUUACUCAAGUUGGGUUCUCCCACAAAAACAGGGAAGAGCUAUUUACAGGUGAGACUAGUCUGCUUCCUUAUGCCCUGAGGGUUUGGUGAGGGAGGAGCUCAGGUUUAAAUCUUCAACGUCAGCCUAACUGCCUCUCGCUGCAGGAUUUCUCUGAGCUCCUUGUGGAGAGAGGAAGUUCCUGGGACCUCUGUUCUGAGAGCAAACACUCACGAUGGGGAGGAACUCAGAACCACUUUGUAAAGAAGUAUGACAACAGGAGCAGAGACAUGGAUAUGCAUGGUGAUGUUGGGAGAAGAGUGCAUCUCACUGGGGACUGAAGAUCUGUGAUGGAGAUCUAGCCCAGACUGCAGUAGAGAUGGGCAUGAAUCAGAAAAAUGGAAAGAGCUGAAGACUUCAGGACCCUUCGAGCAAAAUUCCAAAAUGAAUCCAGCAAGCCCUCAGGAGAAAUCAGCCUACGGCAACAUCUUGGUGCCAGUUCAACACCUUCUCCUGAACCCAAGACUGUGCAUCGAGUACAACCUCCAGAAAUCAUCCCACGGCAAGGUCCCACUUCUAAGGCUGCCCCUUGUGCCAAGCCCAGGUCCUCACACCUGUCACAAGUCCCAGAUCAUGAGCAAAAGCCUGCAUAUAUCAGCUUAGCAGCAGCUGAAUCACAACUCAGUGGCACAUCCCAGAAAUCUGAGACAACACCUAUCAAACCUAUGGUCCUGCCCAGAGUCAAACUUUGUGAGUUGUCUGAAAUAAGGAAAAAGAAUGAAAAGAAAGCUACGGAGUCUCCAGAAACUCCGUGGAAAGCAUCUGUGCCUGUGGCCCAUCCUCAAAAACAACGUCCAGUGUCCUGUGGCUACUCUCAAGAAGCCGGGUUAGCAGAUCAUUCUUUCCACAGCACUCUGCGCAUUUGGGAAAGUGCUGCAGCAUUUCAGGGAGACCAGAUGUCUUCCACAUUGCCACCCCAACGCCCAAAACGGACAACAUCUCUUGCACAGCUAAGCACUAGCAAUAAUAAUUCUGUCACUGUGGAGGAGAAAGCUGAAAUGUGUGAAAAUGUCCAAGCCUUGACACUUGCUGCACCACAGAAGCCUUCUCAAGGGGACCUGACUCCUUUUCCCGCGGUGUCACCACCUCUUCCACCGAGGGGCCAAACAGGUUCAGAGAAUUUGACACCUGGAGGUCUUAAAAUUAUAAAUUCUUCCCCCAGUACUAAUAAGAUGGGCAGACCAAGCAAGACUCUGCAGUCUUUAACUGAAAGGCAAAAUGAUGCUGAAGAACUCAAGCUUCCAAAAACUAAGCCACUUCCGUCCAUUGUAUCACUUGGUCCUCCACCAAAGAAACCAGCAAGGCCUCCCAAGGUAGAUCUUAGUCCUUUCUGUCGGAACCUUCCAGAUGCUACAGAUGAUGCAUAUAUCACUCCUGAAAUAACGGAUGACUUGAACAUGUAUGAAGAAUCAAUGUCUUACCUGACCCAGCCAGAGAGUUCCAUUAAUUCUGAUCAGGAACUUGCACACCAAAUCAUAUUUCCUUACUACCACACCUAG